rnacentral:rRNA from 1 species
GACGUAGGAGGCGAGCGUUAUCCGGAUUCACUGGGCGUAAAGAGCAUGUAGGCGGAUGUCUAAGUCGUGUGUUAAAGCCCCUGGCUCAACUGGGGGAGGUCAUGCGAGACUGGAUGACUUGAGGGCAACAGAGGCACGUGGAACUCCCGGUGUAGCGGUGGAAUGCGUAGAGAUCGGGAAGAACACCCGUGGCGAAGGCGGCGUGCUGGGUUGCAACUGACGCUGAGAUGCGAAAGUGUGGGGAGCAAACGGG